rnacentral:rRNA from 1 species
CCGAUGCGGGACCCUACGGGUGCCGCGUUCGGAAUGAGUACGAUUCGAACCACCUAACGAGGAACGAUCGGAGGGCAAGUCUGGUGCCAGCAGCCGCGGUAAUUCCAGCUCCAAUAGCGUACGUUAAAGUUGCUGCAGUUAAAAAGCUCGUAGUUGAACGUUCGGGUUCCGCGGGACGGGGCCGCCCCGCGAGGGACGGCGCCGCCCCGGGGCUCGUGAUAUCUUAUCUCGCCGCCCGUCGCGAGGCGGACGGAGGGAUGGAUGAGGUUACCUGGAAAAAAUCGGGGCGAUCUAGGCGGGCGAACCUCGCCAACGAACGAUCGGACAUGGGAUAACGGAAGAGGGCGUCGGCUCGACUUCGUCGGUUCCUCGGGGCCGAGGCACGUACGGUGAAUAGGGACGGUCGGGGCCGCCCGUACCGGGUCGUGAGAGGUGAAAUUCUAGGAUCGACCCGAGACGAACUGCCGCGAAAGCAUUCGGCAAGGACGCUUUCAUUAAUCAAGAACGAAAGUCGGGGAUCGAAGACGAUCAGAUACCGUCGUAGUCCCGACCGU